rnacentral:rRNA from 1 species
AGUGAACGCUGGCGGUAGGCCUAACACAUGCAAGUCGAACGGCAGCACAGUAAGAGCUUGCUCUUACGGGUGGCGAGUGGCGGACGGGUGAGGAAUACAUCGGAAUCUACUUUUUCGUGGGGGAUAACGUAGGGAAACUUACGCUAAUACCGCAUACGACCUACGGGUGAAAGCAGGGGAUCUUCGGACCUUGCGCGAUUGAAUGAGCCGAUGUCGGAUUAGCUAGUUGGCGGGGUAAAGGCCCACCAAGGCGACGAUCCGUAGCUGGUCUGAGAGGAUGAUCAGCCACACUGGAACUGAGACACGGUCCAGACUCCUACGGGAGGCAGCAGUGGGGAAUAUUGGACAAUGGGCGAAAGCCUGAUCCAGCAAUGCCGCGUGAGUGAUGAAGGCCUUAGGGUUGUAAAGCUCUUUUACCCGGGAUGAUAAUGACAGUACCGGGAGAAUAAGCUCCGGCUAACUCCGUG